UCGGAUAUGGUGUAACGGCUAACAUUAGCGCCUCUCAUGAUGCCUGAACGAAGCAGUUCGCGCUAUCUCGGGGUUCGAUUCCCCGUAUCCAAA